GGCCAUAUAGCUCAGUGGUUAAGAGCUCCCAAGGUCUAAGACUAUCAGGUGGUCCCAAGUUCAAUCCUUGGUGUGGUCA